rnacentral:tRNA from 1 species
GCGCCCUUCGUCUAGCGGUUAGGACGCCGCCCUUUCACGGCGGAAACAGGGGUUCGAUUCCCCUAGGGCGUACCA